GUGCAUAUGAUGUGAAUUUGAUAUCGACUGAAUAUGUGAUGUAUUCAAAGGAACCACUGAUGCCA